UGAGUUUAACACUUCAUGACUGAGAGCAGAACAGAACACAAUCUUCAUCAUCACACAAGACAAAAGAUCAACAAUGAACACAAUCACCUUCUUCAUCUGGACUCUGACUCUCUGCAUUCAGGAGAGCUGGGGACAAGUGACAGUGACUCAGAAUCCAACAAUAAAAUAUAUCAAACAAGGAGAAACUGUUACAAUCAGCUGUAAAACCAGUCAGCCGAUUUCUGGCUGUAGAGACUGUGUGUCUUGGUAUCAGCAGAAACCUGGAGAAGCUCCUAAACUCCUCAUUUAUUACAUAAGAAGCCUUCAGUCAGGAACUCCAUCUAGAUUCAGUGGCAGUGGAUCUGACUAUGGCAGUGAUUUCACUCUGACCAUCAGUGGAGUCCAGACUGAAGAUACAGGAGAUUAUUACUGUCUGAGUUACCACAGUGGUACAGUGUUCACACAGUGAUAAAGAGUGGUACAAAAACCUCGGUCAGUCAGACGUCACAGUGAUGCACUGAUACAGCUGAGAGAUACUGCAGCUGCUGAUGGAGGAUCACAAACAACACAAUGACAAUGUUUAGCAAAGUUUCGAAAGACUUUAAAGGUAAAUGUAAUAUAUAAGAUUUAAAUACAUUCUCUUAACCCAGUUUAUUGUUCAUUGACUACUCUUAGUAUGCCAUUCAUAGGUUUAUUUCCCCUAAAUGUGUAAACAUUGAAACUCCCAGGCACCAUCAAGACAUUGAGAGCGUCCGCUCAGAUCCGUCAAUCUCUUUCCAGAUGAGACCAUGACUGACACGUUACAUGUGAAAAUACCUUCAGUUACAGAGUGAAGGCCAAACUUCACUGCAUUUAGACCCACAAAGAUUAAUCAGGUCUUGAACGUGUCAAGGCAAACAGGGCAUUGGAUCCUCCUACAGCACUGGCCCUCCAAUUCUGAAGGGGGAAUUAAACACAAAGUAAAACACAAACAAACACACACUUUACACAAUAUUUGUACAUAUAUCUGUAAAAGACUUAAUCAGCUCGACAUGUGCUGCCAAAAAGCAAACAAAAACACAACAACAACCGAACCUGUUCUAUGCAGUCAAUGGGGCGCUGCGUCCGACAGCAGGAGCAACCUGGUUUAGAAACUUCAUGAACCACAAGCAAAUUCAAAAUAACUAAAUACAAAAAAGAACACAAAUUAACAAAUCAGUUAAAUCACAAUACAGUUAGAACAAGCAAAAACAAAUCAAUCCCAAAAGAAUGAGAAAAAAAAAAAAAACUUACUGGUGGAUAACUGCCCAUUGUACACCCCCUCAAGACUUUGAUUUGAGUUGAUACAUACGAAUGUUCAAAAUUAGGAGUAAAGCACCAGGCAGCAGGCCAGACUAAUGACCCGGCUGAUCCCACAAGUGUCGCAUGCUGGAAGAAAUUGGUUAGGAUUAACGAGUAAACACAGUGCGAUAUCACGGUCAAACUAAUAGUGCUGAUCUGAUGGUCCGGUCCAGCAGCUCAAUCACAAAGGCUGAUCUCACACAGCUCCAAAGAUUGAUCCCAGAAACAAUAUAACGGCCACGAGAACACAGUUCGAUGUCCAAGCAGUCAUCUAUGGUGAAGCAAACAUGAACGGCAGACAUCCAAGCAGCAGUUUAAAGGGAAACCAAAGACCGCUGCAACGUCUCUUGCAUUGACUCACACAUUAACUGUGUAAAUACAACACACUCCAAGAGUAAGGAUCACUAGCUAGGUCACUAAUAAGCAACCAAACCCAUAGUAGAAAUGUCUGUCAAAUGGCGACUCCCAUAACACAGGGAACUCCAUGGUAGAUAGAAUGCAUUUCCAUGGAAACAGCCAUCACUAAAAGCAUCCCACAAAUGCUCCUCAAUCCACACUACAAUGAAAUAAUGUAACCCUGCAUGGCACAAACAAACAGCCCACAUCACGGCUGAAUACUCCUACCUCUCGGACAUUCACACGGUGCGCCGGAAAUCCUGUAACUCCGUCACUGACGCUAGGCAGACGCACUUCUGCAUAAUGUCAAUACUGACGCUUUUAUAUUCCACCAAACAAGAGCACAAUUAAAACCCGCCCCCUCCACAUCUAUCUGAAAAGGUAGAAACACUUCUACAACCACACAAAAACAUGAUGGAAAUCUAUAGAUCCCCAGUUGAUUUAGCUUCAAAAGACAUUGAUUCAUUAACUGGGAAUUACCAUUGUGUUGGUUUUGUGUGGUUGUAGCAGUAGUUUCUACCUUUUCAACAGAAAUGACCUUUAUCAACUCUAGAGGUCCCAUCCACUUGCAUUAUAUGGACUCACAGAGAGGAAUUAUUUCUUUAAAAAUGUUUGUGUUCCUCUGAAGAAAGAAAGACAUUUACAUAUGGGAUGACAUGAGUGAGUAAAUGUGAGAAUUUUCCUUUUUGUGUGGAGUAUCCCUAUAACACAUGAUGAGGAGAGCAUCAACUGUAGCACAAAUGAAGAGUAAAUGAGAGAAGAGUAAAUAUGACCUUACCUCUUCAAUCUGAAACAGUGCAGUCCUCAAAAAACUGGACUGCUCUGUACCACAUUUCUCCUUGUGUAGGCGAACGUUUUAGACAACUUUUCUUUUACUACUGAUCCGAAAUCAGUCAGUAGCUCACAUCAUUUUUCAAGGCUUUCAUCUGUUUCUCCAGUUGGAUUAGCAGGGCAAAAGUUAACCUCUGCUCUCUUCGGUUUCUUCACAUUUUUGGCUAGAAAGCAUUUAUCCCUGGUCUUGUUCUUCAAUGAAUUCAGAGCAACUUCUAAAGUGUUACACUUGUCAUGUUAUCACCUUGCUUUUAUGACAUGCUAUUUCAUUUGUGUUAUGUACUGUAUUGCAAUAACAUGGCCUCGCCCCCUUUGUUGUGUGUUCUCAGGGGCGGGGUUUAUGUAAAUUGUAGGGUUAGUGAUGUCACCAAUCCAGGAAGAAGCUCGUUGUAGUCCCUACCAGCUGUUUGUUGUAGUCCUUAAACAGAAUUCUUUAAAAGAAAAUAUCUCCCUUUGCUUUGAACUUUGAGCAUCGUAACUUUGCAGAUGUUGUUUAUGCUCAAACAGCAACAUUACACACUAACUAAAGUUAAAAAAGUCAAAUCAUAAUCAACCACCCCUUUAAGAAAUGUGCAUUGUGCAAUAAAUAAAUACUCCAAAUAAAGUUUAAUCAUAAUUUUAUAUCAGUAAGUUCUAAAUGAUAUGUCAAUAAAUAUGUUAAUGGAUUUGAAGGAUACUUAGUUUGAAAUAAAUGUAUUUUAAAUAGAUUUUGGUAUCCACCUUAUUCCUACGCCCAUGAAGCUUUGUGCGAACUAUGGGUGGAACUUCUGUUAAGCUGUAAACAGUCAGUGAAAGACUCGCUCUAUGAAAGAAAUAAUACGUUUUUUUUUUUUUUUUAACUGGGUACGAGAUGACAUUUUUCUACUCACCCUUCAACCAACGAACAUUAAAAGGACAUUUAAAAGUGUAAAAGCAUCAACAAGGUACUUUCAACAGGCCAUGAAAAAGCAAGAUUCUUUCCACAGAAAUAACGGACGGGUUAAAUAUAACUUUAGUGAUAUAUAUCUGUAUUAUGUAAUAUACGUUGCCUUUAUAAAAAUGUCCAUGAACUUCAGCAUUGCGUGAUACUAUUUCAAAGUGAUUUCCAUCAUUUUUACAGAUAAUAAAUUGUAUUUACCUGUGAAAACAAACCUAGAAAGAGACGUGAGGCUUUGAGGAGAAAAACGAGAGAUUCUUCGUUCAUUCCAGUGAAUUAUUAAUGGGAUAUAUCGUACAUUAUAUCGGAAGAACAGACCACAAAUGUGCAGUAUAUGUUGUCCUUUUUCAUACUAUUACAGCGGCAUGAAAGGGACAAAAGAAAAUAAUCACGAGGAUAGAAAGCAGCGACUGAAAAGAGCUCUUGCCAUAGAUAUUCGUUAUAACAUGUUACGUUAAAAUACCAAGCGUUACGUUAUUCUCAUGAUGUCUGAAUAUAAAACAUGAAAGAAAAAUUGACAGCUCAUUCAGUCAAACUGACAGAUAAGCUUUAUUUGUAGGGCAACCUUAAUUUCAGUCUUUUUAAACGGAAGUUCCCCAAACUAGAAGUGCAGCCCAUAAUUUGAAACGCAGUAGGCUAGUCAGGAAUAAGGUGGAUAGGGGCAGCAUGGGAAGUGGGAGUGCUGUGGACCAGCUACACCAGCACAGUUUUUCUUGACCAGUUAGACCAGCACUAAACCAGUCUGGACCAACAUGGCAUUCAUGCUGGUUUAUGCUGGAUUUUUCAGCAGGGUGAGUUGACAUUAUCGUCCCACUCUCUUAUCUGUCACCUUCCUCCAAUGCAUUAAGUAUGGAGGUGAUAUUAAUAUACUUCCCUCAUAAUUCAGGAAUGGGUGAAUUGUCAGAGCAGAAAGUGGACUUUGUCGCUAUUAGAGUCCCACUUUCUUAUCUGUCGCCCCUCCAGCACAAGUCAGUGAUAGUGUAGACGUGGAGCUGAACUCUACAGGCCCUUCAGGAGCAGGUUUGGACACUAAACCAAUGAGACAAACAUUAUAGUCUUUAUCCACCUUGUUUUUAACAUAAGAGCAGCUCGGCCAUUUGUAAAUUGAAUGUGUCUGGCUUCAGGUGUCAUUCGCUUCUGAAGACUUUGGGAAGAGAAGAUACAAUAUGCUUAUUCUUUGUCAUUUAUUUAUGAGUGUUUCAUCAACUUUGGGCACCUAAUAUCCCAGGGGUUGAAUUUUAUUAAAAUAUAACAGAUAUAACUUUUGUCUUUUUGUUAUAAUCCUUUAACCAGACUAUCAAUGAGAAACAAGAAGUUAAAUCAGACUUUAUAAACAUUGUAUUUCAAGCUUGUCAAUUCUUUGGAUAUGUUUAUUUUGGGAAUUGUCUUUGAAAUGUCUUUGAGAGUGAGCUGUAGUCUUCAGGAUAAUGAUUUAAAUAUUGAGAGUCACUUUGCAUUGUCACACAUGCUUCAGUGCUCUGAGAGUGUUUAUAGUGCUGUGAGUUUAACACUUCAUGACUGAGAGCAGAACAGAACACAAUCUUCAUCAUCACACAAGACAAAAGAACAACAAUGAACAAAAUCACCUUCUUCAUCUGGACUCUCACACUGUUUGCUCAAGAGUGUAGAGGACAGUACACUGUAACUCAGAGUCCAUCAAUAACAGCAGUUCAACCAGGACAAGAAGUCAGAAUAAACUGUAAAACCAGCAGUGCAGUGUAUACUAGUAGUCGUUUAGCCUGGUACUUACAGAAACCUGGAGAAGCUCCUAAACCCCUCAUAUAUGAUGCAACAAGCCGUUAUACUGGAACUCCAUCUAGAUUCAGUGGCAGUGGAUCUGGCAGUGAUUUCACUCUGAUUAUCAGUGGAG